GUGCCAGCAGCCGCGGUAAUACGUAGGUGGCAAGCGUUGUCCGGAAUUAUUGGGCGUAAAGCGCGCGCAGGCGGCUAUGUAAGUCUGGUGUUAAAGCCCGGGGCUCAACCCCGGUUCGCAUCGGAAACUGUGUAGCUUGAGUGCAGAAGAGGAAAGCGGUAUUCCACGUGUAGCGGUGAAAUGCGUAGAGAUGUGGAGGAACCCCUGGUGGCGAAGGCGGCUUUCUGGGUGUGUAACUGACGCUUAAGGCGCCAAAGCGGUGGGGAGCAAACAGGAUUAAGAUACCCUGGUUAGUCC
rnacentral:rRNA from 1 species